CACGAGCGGCGGACGGCUGAGUAACACGUAGGAACGUACCCCAAACUGAGGGAUAACUGCUCGAAAGAGUAGCUAAUACCGCAUGUGAUCUUCGGAUUAAAGCUUCGGCGGUUUGGGAACGGCCUGCGCAUGAUUAGCUUGUUGGUGGGGUAACGGCUUACCAAGGCGACGAUCCGUAGCUGGUCUGAGAGGACGACCAGCCACACUGGAACUGAGACACGGCCCAGACUCC
rnacentral:rRNA from 1 species